GACGAACCGUGCGAACGUUGUUCGGAAUCACUGGGCUUAAAGGGCUCGUAGGCGGCCAACUAAGUCAGACGUGAAAUCCCUCGGCUUAACCGGGGAACUGCGUCUGAUACUGGAUGGCUAGAGGUUGGGAGAGGGAUGCGGAAUUCCAGGUGUAGCGGUGAAAUGCGUAGAUAUCUGGAGGAACACCGGUGGCGAAGGCGGCAUCCUGGACCAAUUCUGACGCUGAGGAGCGAAAGCCAGGGGAGCAAACGGG
rnacentral:rRNA from 1 species